rnacentral:rRNA from 1 species
UACGUAGGGGGCGAGCGUUGUCCGGAUUUAUUGGGCGUAAAGAGCGUGUAGGCGGCCAGGUAGGUCUGCUGUGAAAACUCGAGGCUCAACCUCGAGACGUCGGCGGAAACCAUCUGGCUAGAGUCCGGAAGAGGAGAGUGGAAUUCCCGGUGUAGCGGUGAAAUGCGCAGAUAUCGGGAAGAACACCUAUGGCGAAGGCAGCUCUCUGGGACGGUACUGACGCUGAGACGCGAAAGCGUGGGGAGCAAACAGG